CCCCCCGGCCCCCGCGACAUCCGCGCGGGUGGUGGGAGGAUCGGAAUGUCCCUGACGCCCUCCAGAGAGCCUGGAGCCCGGCUGGAACCCGAGCAGGUGGCUGGGAGCAGAGAGGGUGCGCCCGGGACCCGGAAAACACCACCCACCCUCCCACCGACCGGAUCCAGGAGAGGGGUGGGGACCCCCAGCCGCUAGCUGCAGCUUGGCGGGACAGGACAGCUGCGGGAAGGAGGCGGCGGCCUUGGCCCUCGGAGCAGCUCAAUUCCUCCCCGCCCCGGUCCCCCUCCCACCGGCGGCUGCCUGCGAGGAUUUUAUUUAUUUCUUUGAGAGAGAGGGAGAGCACAAGAGGGAGAGGGAGAAGCCGAACUCCCCCACUGACCAGACAGCUCAGUGCGGGGACUCGAACCCAGGGCCGGAGAUCGUGACCUGAGCCGAAGGCAGAUGCUUAACUGAAUGAGCUACCCAGGCACCCCUGGUGUUGCGUAUUAAGUGCAUUUUCAACUUUCAAUUGAUAUUUUCAAUCUACAAUGGAUUUAUCAGGAACUCAUCCUACCUACAUCGAGGAAGAUCUGUAAAACACUUUGAACAACAUUGAGCCCAUCCGUAUGUCUCUUCAUUAAAUAAGAUAGAACUGUAUUAACUACAAGUAUUGCCCCUCAGUAUUUUUGUAAGAGUGAAAUAAAGUCAAAAUCUGGAGUUGCCUUGAAGGAGAAAAGUUUACAGGAAUGACAAGACCACCCCAUAGAAAAGGCAUGGGAGUGUUUUGAGGCCACUCCUUGAAUGGCUACUCCCUAUCAUUGCCUACAAUAGAACAGAGCCCCCCAAAUGAGGCAUCCAUCAUCCCAUUAUCUGUACUUGGGGUGUGCUUUCGUUCCAGACUCCCCACAGGGUGGGAAAAAUCAGAGCAGCCUUAAGGAGAAAGGCAGCCACAUGGGUCACCUUCAAAGAUAAGCAGAGCAUAGCUCCUUUCCAGAGACUCUGGAACCCCAGAUUUCCUUCACAGCAAAGUCCUCUGCCCAUAGGACCAGCAGAAGGAAGGGGGAAGCUACAUGUCACUCCAGGGGACAUUGUGUCAGCAAGCUAUCAUCAGAAGCCACCACAGUUACACUGGAAAUUGGCUUAUGGAACCAGAGGAAGUGACAGGGUCCCAAUGGUUACUAAUCAGAAGUCACAAGGCUACCUUGAUAAAUAAAGGAUGGAAGCUUGAGUCCAGCACUACUCCAGGAAGGUCCUCACCCAAGAAGGAAAGGCCUGCUUUGUAAAGAGUACCUGGCAGCUACCAGACAAGACGAAAAUGCUGAAGGGAGCCAUGAGAAUCAGCCAGUGAGAAUCUGGGUUAGGACUGGAUGAGCA